rnacentral:rRNA from 1 species
CAGUAGCCACGGUAAUACGGAGGGUGCAAGCGUUAAUCGGAAUUACUGGGCGUAAAGCGUGCGUAGGUGGUGGUUUAAGUCCGUUGUGAAAGCCCUGGGCUCAACCUGGGAAUUGCAGUGGAUACUGGGUCACUAGAGUGUGGUAGAGGAUAGUGGAAUUUCCGGUGUAGCAGUGAAAUGCGUAGAGAUCGGAAGGAACAUCUGUGGCGAAGGCGACUAUCUGGGCCAACACUGACACUGAGGCACGAAAGCGUGGGGAGCAAACAGGAUUAGAUACCCCGGUAGUCCCUGUCUCUUAUAC